GGGAGAGCGGUGUCUGGUGGGUGGGUCGUGUGUUUUGGGGUAGGAGGUGCUGUGUGUGCAGGAGCUGCUGGAAUCGGGUUUCCUUUGCUCAUGACAUGGAUUUCAAACCAAGCCUGGGCUUUGGUCUGAAUAGGGAGUGCUGAGGGCAGAGACUCAGGGCUGUCCCUGGUGACGAUGGAGUCUCUGCAGGGAGAGACGCCCUCAGGGGCCCGCAGGUCCACCCUGCACGAUGGCAGGAGGGCAGCACAGCAACUGCCAGGGAGGACUGGCCUCGAAGCUGACAUCUGAGGGGCCGGGCACCUGCUGGCAGAUGUCACUCAGGGCAUUGCAGAUGAGCCCGUCACAGACCUGCAGGGAGACCACCCAGGACAAAUGGCCAGUCCCAGGAGUUGGCCUUGGAUCGUAUGUUGCCCAGCUUACCUGUCCUUUCACCCAGAAACAUCCAGGGAAAUACCAGGGCUAAACAGAGCCAGGGUCUGCAUCUAGCGGCUUCCUGCCCGCUGCCCCUACUCCCCGCUUGGGUCAGAUGCGACUGGAAGUUGGGACACCUCUCGGGGGAGGGAGGUAGGGGGAGGGAAGGAGCAUGGAGACUCCAGAUGGAGAUUUGGGAUGCUUCAAAUCCUGGCCCUGACAGACUGUUCGUAUCCUUGAGUCCUGGCGCCCUGAAACCCCAGGACUAUGAAGCUUUCCGAAUGGAGGUCCAGACCCUGCGAAAACCUGACUCUGAGAAUCUUGAGUGUGAAGGAGCCUUCAAGGUCACAGCAUAAACAGGCUGCUGUCCCCGCGGCUCUCAGACAGCCUCCCACUGCACAGCCCCCUCGAGGACCGCAUGCUUUUAUGGAUGCAAAGACAGUGGAGACAUAAAAUAAACACUUGGAUUUUAACUACAUUGUGCCCCUGGCCAGGAGCACUGGAGCCUGGGCCUCUCGCAAGCCCCUGUUCUCACCUGCCAGCCUGAAUCGGGGUGUCUGGGAUGGUAGCCGUGGUCUGCCACCCCCUGCCCUGGCCCUGCGGCCCCCCACUGGAGCCCAGCAGAGACUGGGCCCUAUCCGUCAGAAAGGUUGUGAGAAUUGAAUGAGACAGCUGCCGCAGAGGCCCAGAGAGGGCCACUGGCUGCCUGGAGUCACACAGCGAGAGGGUAGGAAAGAUGCUCCCCUUCCCCCAUCCCUCCUCUCCGGGGGUCCCGUGUUGGGCCUGGUCUGUGGAGCCUGGCAGCGGGUCCCCUGUGGCCUCGGGAACAGCAGCCCAUCGGCUUGCUUGGGGCCGGGCUUGGGCCCCUCGGUUGUUCCUUUGGUCUGACCAGGCCUCCCCACGGGCCUUAUCUGUCCGUUCCCUCCUUUCCCACCAAACUAAUCUCUCCCUCUUUUCAGGAGUUCCUGUUUCCUCUCUGCCGCCUUCUUGUCUCUCCCCGGCCCGUCUCUCCCGUGUCUCCAGCCAGCCUCCCACACUCGGUCGGGCCGCCUCAGAGCGGCUGGUGCUGUCAUCACCGGGGAGUUUCCGUCCCUCGGGGCUCCCGAGCCUCUCAGGGCCUGUCUGGGACUGCUGGCCCCUCAUGCCUGGGUAGGAGAUCCUGCUGGUGACGAGAAUUUGAACACCCACAGGACAGUACCUGGCCUUGAAUUUUUCGGGGUGGCCACUGGCCCAGGGGCCUCUACAGGCUACUGCAAUGGUUUCAGGGUUUUCACCCUAUAGUUUCCAGGGACUAAGAUCUUAGGGUUCCAAAUCCGAACACGAUGAGAUCCUGAACUACUAAACCUCCGAGGUUCUGGGAGCCUCUGGGACCCUGUGAUCCACCUUGGGGGAGACCCCACCACAUCUGACCGAGUGGGGCUCCAUCCAGCUGCGUCCUGAGAACCUGACCUGCGGGUGAGGAGCAGUCCGGGGACCAGCCCCCCAUGCCGCUUGGUUGUCCAGCCCCUGAACAGACAGAAGGGUGCGGGCCUUCGUCACAGGUCUCGGGAUUGGCCAGUGGCAGGUACACAAGGCCCACUGAGUCAGGGGCACAGCUGGGUCUCCCAUCCUGAACCCCUCCUGGCCCAGGCCCCCCACUUAGCCCAGCAAAUGGCCUUCUGCCUUCCACGCUGCCCUCCCUGUGCCUGGCUGGAAUGGGGAUGUGGGAGAAGGGGCGUGCCUGGGCUCUGAGCCCCACUCUCCUGUGAACCUUCCCUGGGAUCCAGGCCCUCUCCUCUCAGAGCCUCCGCUUCCUCCUCCAUCAGAGGUGAUAACAAUACUCACCUGGGGGGGGGGGGCUGCUGUCAAGAUUACUUGGGACAAUGAGUUUGGAACGGUACUCAGCAGGUGCAUAAUAAAUGGUAGCAUUUACAUUA